rnacentral:lncRNA from 1 species
GCUUUCAGCUGUGGUAAAAUACACAUGGCAUUAAAAGUUACCACUUGAAGCAUUCAGUCCAGUAGAGAUAAGUUUAUUCACAUUGUUUUGCAAUAGCUCUCCCAACCUUUUUCAUCUUGCAAAACUGAAACUCUGCACCCACUAAACAACUCCCAUUUCCCCCUCCCUCCAGCCCCUGACGAGCACCAACUACUUUCUGUUUCUACGAAUUUAACUACUUUAUAGACCCUUAUAUAAGUGGAAUUGGACAUCAUUUGCAUUGGCUCAGUGGUAACGAAUCUGACUAGUAUGCAUGAGGACACAUGUUGGAUUUCUGGCCUUAUUCAGUGGAUUAAGGAUCCGACAUUGCUGUGAGCUGUGGUAUAGGGCGCAGAUGUGGACUGGACCCGGAGUUGCUGUGGCUGUGGUAUAGGCCAGCAGUUACAGCUCCAACUGAACCCCUAGCUUGGGAAUCCCCAUAUGCCGCGGUGCGGCCUUAAACCAACAACAACAAAAACCCCUCAGAACUGUGACAGGUACAACUACACAGAAGGGAUUAUUAUCAUAUAAAAGUUAUCCAUCCAAAAAACUAAUUUCUCCGAACUCAAAGAAUUUGACAACUCUAAAUCUGAAACGUGUAGUUUACUCUAACCACUCAAGGAGUUCUCACUGUGGUACAGUGGCUUAAGUCCAGCUGCAGUAGUUCAGGUCACUGUGAGGGCAAGGGUUCAAUCCCCAGCCUAGUGCAAUGGGUUAAAGGAUCUGGAAUUGCCGCAGCUGCAGCAUAGGUUGCAACUGUGGCUCAGAUUCAAUCCCUGGCCCAGGGAACCUCCUUAUGCCACAGGUUCAGUCACGAAAAAGUAAAGAAAUACAAAAUUAACCAUUCAAAGCAUAAAUAACUCAGGUGGGAUGGAGAGGGUGUUUACUAAUUCUCUUCGAGUCACUGGAAGGAGCCACGGCCACCCAGGAAGACAGUCCUAGCAACUCCCCAAGCCUCCAGUGAGGACACACAUGUCAAUGAGCAUAGCUUCCAUGAGGACCCGAGCAGAGACAUUCAAUUAGAAAAUGUCUCAAACAAUAAGAAAAUAUGUUUAAAACACCAGAAUCAUCACAAAAAGCCAAAGCACCAAGAACCUGUAAAAGUUAGCCACCUAAAUAUUUUCAUCAUGCACUUAAAAUCCAAAGGCAAUAAUCAGCCAGGGCAUCACAGGAAAUCAAUGUAUCACAGGAAACUAACCUAAGAGUAGAUGAGAGAAAACUUCCCCCCCCCCCCAAGAAACAGCAUAAACACUGCAGGGUGCAGUUUCGUGAACUCCAUCCACCUAAGUUUGUCCUUUUCUUGCUCACACCAUCAUCAAAUCUUUGGCUAUCGCUCAGAUCAUUUCUAUAGAGGUAAGGUGAGGUCACAGACACUCUAUACUGUUGUCCUUUAUUAACUACAAUAGAGUUUCUAUAAAUUAUUUCUCAGCCAAUCACGGGCAGCGGCAAAAUUCACCGUGAAUUUGCUGAUCAAAUCCACUGCCAGAAGAGGUCUUCCGGCAAAUACUUCUAAGUAAAAUGUCUUAAUCCAGAUCCUGUGCUUACACUUCAAGAUGUAAUGCUGUUAGCACACCUGGCCCUCUAUCAUGUUCUCUGCUGGCCAGCACAAAUAGGUGAACCUGUCCAACCUCCUCACCAAGGGCAGGCUGUGGCUUACCAUUACCAAUUUUAACCCCUUUUCCUCAUGAGGGCAGUACUGUUUAAAGGGAAUUAGGCUAGUUGAUUUGCAAAGGUGUUCCCAGCUUUAAUGUUUCUGGAUGAAGAUGGCUAUACAUAUAUAAGUGUGAUUCAUUUCUUAAACCCAAAGUCUGUUGAGAGGCAAGACAAGGAUUCAAUAGAGUGAUGUUUUACUUUUCAUAAACUGAAGUGAAGUUUACAUCCAGUGCAGUAAAUGGAUCUUAAGAAUGAAGUUCAAGAGUUCUCAGGAACGAAAGCACCUAUGUAAUCCACACUCCUAGCAAGAUACGUAUUACUGUCACUGCCUUUCAAAGCUCUCCUGGGCCUCUUUUCAGGCAAUCCCUACCUCCUCACCCUACCAACAACCACUCUCUUACUUUCUGUUAUCACAGUUUAGUUUUGCUUCAAAUAAAGGGAAUCAUACAGUAAGUACUCUUCAUGCUUUUUUCAGCAUAAUGUUUUUGAGAUUUGUCCAUAUUAUUGUGUAUAUUAAUAAUUUGUCCCAGAGUACCCGUUGUGGCUCGGUGGGUUAAGAACCUGACGUUGUGUCUGUGAGGAUGCAGGUUCAGUCCCUGGCCUCACUCUGUGGGUUAAGGAUGUGGCACAGGUCACAGAUGUGGCUCAGAUCUGGUGCUGCUGUGGCUGUGGUGCAGGCUGGCAGCUGCAGCUCCAAUUUGACCCUUAGCCAGGAACUUCCAUACGCUGCAGGUGUGGCCGUAAAAAGAAAAAAAGUAGUAAUAAUUUGUCCCUAUUUAGUGCUAAGGGUAAUUCCACUGUAUGAAUAUACUAGUUCAUUCUCAUCAGAUGGGCAUUUGCGUUGGUCCCAGUGGGGCUAUUUUGGUAAAGAGAACUCAAAUGGUUCUGCAGGAUUUCCCCACCCCCUGAUGCACACACCCUGCACAGUCCCCAGCUGUAAACAUGGUGGAGUUUCACCCAGUGAUUAGCUUAUUUAUAUGGUACAACUGACUAAAAUAGGGAGAUUACUGUUUUCUCCAUGUGGCAGCAGAAGUCAGAAGUUCAAAGAACAAAGAUUCUAUGCACCGGUGGUGAUGUGAAGAUGGAGGAAACCACACGUCAGAGGUUGCAGGUGACCUCCAGGAGCUGAGAAGGGCACCCCACUAACACCUAGCAAGGAAACAGAUCCACAGCUUCACGAUCCCGAAUUCUGCCAACAACAAGAAUGAGCUGAAAGUGGAUUUUCCCUCCAGAGCCUCCAGCUGAGAACUCAUUCGCUGCCGCCAGAGCUGCUACUCUGAGCAGAGUCACGCCCAUGCGGUGCUUGAGGCCUCAUCUCUGGAACAGUGAGCUAACGAAUGGGGGUCAUUUGUGGUGAUUUGGUACUUGGCGAAGAAAACGGACAGGGGUGGGAUUAAUAAUACGUACAAGUUGCUACCAAUGCACACAGACAGGAAGUUUUCAGUGCCUGUGGAUAAACAGCUAGGCGUAGAACUGGGGGCUUGUGGAUAAGCAGACAUUUAUAAGAAACCGUCAAAGUGCUUUGCUAAGUGGCAUUCCCAUUUCACACUCCCACUUGCCCUGCAGGAGAUCUGGGUGUCCCACAGCCUCACCAGCACUUGGCAUUGUCAGUCUCUUUAAUUUUAGCUGAAAUGCUAAACACGUCAGCAGCCUUCUUUACGUAUGGGGUAUGACUCUCUUCCAUUUCUGUUCUCUGUAGCGUUUUUAUAACAUUUAGAGCGAACACCACAUUAAGCCCCGUUGUUGUAUUCUUUGUCACUGUCGCACAGGGGUUAGGUUCCUUUGCACAGGAGCAUAAGCACUGAAGAGUGGGGAUCAUGUCUUUAUUCCUCUAAAUCCUCAC